UUAAUGCUCUACAAGGUGCUUUCCAAAGUAAAAAGGACUUUUGAUCAACAUGUGGACCAAUCAAAGUCCGUGAUAACAGGAAAUUCCAUCGAAACUGUGCGUAAAUUCAUCAAUUGGCCGAAAUCAUUAUUGAAAUUCAUGGAAAUGGAAUUGAACAUCUCCAAAACAUCGAAUUAUAGCAUUUUGACCGAACAUUUGGGCUUACGAAAGAAAAAUGCAUUUGCUCAUGAAAGGGAAGCGUUAUGCAGACGUAGAGGUCAUUCAAAAGGCUUGCACCGGCAUACUGGCGGCCAUACCGGCCAAAGAGCUAAAACACUCGUUCGACAUGCUUUUGGACCGUGAAAAAAACUGUAUCGGAGCAGAAGGAGGCUACUUUGAAUAAAAUGUCAGUAAAAUGUCACCUAUAAAAAACCAUUUCAUGGAAUCAAGUCAAUCUCAUUUUAGUACAAAGAAUAGUACUCGUGUUAUAGCACAGAAAGGUGGUUUGGCUGUUUUACCGUGUGUCGUCAAACUAAAUUCUCCAGCAACACAUUGGAAAUUGGAAGUAGCAGCAGCAGCUAUGUAUAUCAUCAGAAGCGGCAAAUAUCAAUUGUUGAAUAUUAUUAUGAUUUUUAUUUAAUUAUUCUUUCUUUUCAGAUUUUAUCACUAUUUUUAUUUAAUUAAUCCUUGCUUUCAGAGUAAAUCCUAUUUGUAUUUAAUAUAUU